rnacentral:tRNA from 1 species
AGGGAAAUAGCUCAGUGGUAGAGCAUUUGACUGUAGAAAUGAACGUUUGAUCCUUGAAGGAAGUACUUGCUUUUCAAAUGUACUUAUCUUCUUUCCUUU